rnacentral:misc_RNA from 1 species
GCGCAGCUGCCUCAAUUAAAGUAAGACCAAAAGGCUCAACCAGAGCUGGAUUUAUGAAGACACCCUUUGUUUUUGCUGCAAGCCUGUAGAUAUCCGGAACAUCACACUGCUUGUGAUGCUUUGGGUAAGCCACGAGUCCAUAGAGAUCAUACUUAUCAAUCAUCUUCAGAACCGUCAUAAGGACACUAGCACUGCCAGAAGACAUCUCGUCGAUGUCAUCCCUGUUCCCCAUUAUCAAU